rnacentral:lncRNA from 1 species
UUCCACUUUUCGUGGAAAGACCUUUUGUUUUUUCUUCUGAUUAUUUUUUUUUUCUUCUGCCGUCUGAGAUGCUUUUUUGUCUUACAACAUAUUGAAUGGAUUUUUUGGCCAAUGAUGUUGUACAGUAAUUGGGGUUUCAAAACUCACCCUGUGUGACCGAACACAUAUUCUUAUAGGAGUUAUCUCCCCGUGUAUUCUUUUUCUUGUUAUCGUUAUAUCUCUAAAACCGUAAAAGAUUUUAGCAAACUGUUUUCACCAAAUUGUU